rnacentral:rRNA from 1 species
GACGAACGCUGGCGGCGUGCUUAACACAUGCAAGUCGAACGGUGAAAGCGGAGCUUGCUCCGCUGGAUCAGUGGCGAACGGGUGAGUAACACGUGGGCAACCUGCCCCUCACUUCGGGAUAACUCCGGGAAACCGGGGCUAAUACCGGAUAUGACCUCCUUGGGCAUCCUUGGAGGUGGAAAGUUUUUCGGUGAGGGAGGGGCCCGCGGCCUAUCAGCUUGUUGGUGAGGUAGUGGCUCACCAAGGAGACGACGGGUAGCCGGCCUGAGAGGGGGACCGGCCACACUGGGACUGAGACAUGGCCCAGACUCCUACGGGAGGCAGCAGUGGGGAAUAUUGCGCAAUGGGCGAAAGCCUGACGCAGCAACGCCGCGUGCGGGAUGAGGGCCUUCGGGUUGUAAACCGCUUUCAGCAGGGAAGAAGCCGCAAGGUGAUGGUACCUGCAGAAGAAGCACCGGCUAACUACGUGCCAGCCGCCGCGGUAA